AUUGAACGCUGGCGGCAGGCCUAACACAUGCAAGUCGAGCGGAUGAAGGGAGCUUGCUCCUGGAUUCAGCGGCGGACGGGUGAGUAAUGCCUAGGAAUCUGCCUGGUAGUGGGGGAUAACGUCCGGAAACGGGCGCUAAUACCGCAUACGUCCUGAGGGAGAAAGUGGGGGAUCUUCGGACCUCACGCUAUCAGAUGAGCCUAGGUCGGAUUAGCUAGUUGGUGGGUUAAAGGCCUACCAAGGCGACGAUCCGUAACUGGUCUGAGAGGAUGAUCAGUCACACUGGAACUGAGACACGGUCAAGACUCCUACGGGAGGCAGCAGUGGGGAAUAUUGGACAAUGGGCGAAAGCCUGAUCCAGCCAUGCCGCGUGUGUGAAGAAGGUCUUCGGAUUGUAAAGCACUUUAAGUUGGGAGGAAGGGCAGUAAGUUAAUACCUUGCUGUUUUGACGUUACCAACAGAAUAAGCACCGGCUAACUUCGUG
rnacentral:rRNA from 1 species